AAGUCGAAUAUAAGGCGCCAGAGGAAAGCGCGGGUACCAGACUUUUAAACUUUAGCAAAGGGCGAGCUGAAAAAUGUGAUGCUGAAAGCAAUGCGCGGGAGUCACCGUUGCAGACAGUUACAUUCCAUCAGCAAACUCCAACCAAAGCCAAACCACUAUCCAUCAAAGAAAGCAUUAGCUCAGAAGAAACACAACUACAACAAACCCCAACCAGUUGUUGACUCCGACAUAAAGCAAUGGAACCUAGCAAUAUCUACCCACAUGCGCAAUGCCCAGCUGGACUCAGCUUUCCGUGUCUUUAACUCAAUGCCACGUCGAAGCUCUGUUUCUUACAAUGCCAUGAUAUCUGGGUACCUGAUGAAUGAUAAGUUUGAGCUUGCAAGAAACUUGUUUGAUGAAAUGCCUGAGAGAGACUUGGUUUCUUGGAAUGUAAUGAUUAGUGGGUGUGUAAGGAACAAUAACCUUGCUGCUGCGAAGGAGUUGUUUGAACAAAUGCCUGAAAGGGAUGUUGUUUCAUGGAACGCUAUGUUGUCUGGAUAUGCGCAGAAUGGUUGUGUUGACAAGGCGAGAAAGAUUUUUGAUAGAAUGCCUACUAAGAAUUCAAUUUCGUGGAAUGCUUUGCUUGCGACUUAUGUGCAGAAUGGGAGGAUGGAAGAGGCUUGUAGGCUUUUUGAAUCGAAGGCAGAUUGGGAUUUGGUUUCUUGGAAUUGUUUGAUGGGUGGGUUUGUGAAGACAAAGAGGUUCAUUGAUGCUAGAAGGAUUUUUGAUAGAAUCCCUUUCCGAGAUAAAAUCUCUUGGAAUACUAUUAUUACAGGUUAUGCACAGAAUGGUGAGAUUGAAGAAGCUAGGAGAUUGUUCCAUGAGUCCCCGGUUCGAGAUGUAUUUACGUGGACAGCAAUGGUGUCAGGUUACGUGCAGAAUGGAAUGGUUGACAAGGCAAGGGAAUUUUUUGAAGAAAUGCCAGAAAAGAAUGCUGUUUCAUGGAAUGCAAUGAUUGCAGGGUAUGUGCAAUGUAAGAGAAUGGACAUGGCUAGGAAAUUGUUUGACAAAAUGCCUUGCCAAAAUGUCACUUCUUGGAAUACAAUUAUCACAGGGUAUGCUCAGAGUGGUGAGAUAGCUCAUGCUAGGGAAUUGUUUGAUCGGAUGCCUAGGCGUGAUCCUGUGUCUUGGGCAGCCAUGAUUGCAGGUUAUGCUCAAAGUGGUUAUGAUGAGGAGGCUUUAUGCCUUUUUGUAGAGAUGAAAAGAGAUGGAGAAAGGUUGAAUAGGUCCUCAUUUGCAUGUGCCUUGAGCACAUGUGCCCAUAUUGCUGCUUUAGAAAUGGGGAAACAGUUGCAUGGGCGGCUGGUUAAGGCAGGAUAUGAAAGUGGGUCCUUUGUGGGAAAUGCACUUCUUUUAAUGUACUGUAAGUGUGGAGGCAUAGAAGAAGCUUGCAGUGCAUUUGAAGAAAUAAUGGAGAAGGACGUUGUCUCAUGGAAUACAAUGAUUGCCGGUUAUGCAAGACAUGGAUUUGGCAAAGAGGCUCUAAAGGUUUUUGAGUCAAUGAAGGCAGCUGGUGUCAAACCAGAUGAUACCACUAUGGUUGGAGUAUUGUCUGCUUGUAGUCAUGCUGGCUUAGUGGAUAGGGGCAGGGAAUAUUUCUACUUUAUGAACCAGGAUUAUGCCAUAAAAGCAAAUUCACGACAUUAUACUUGCAUGGUUGAUCUUCUCGGUCGAGCUGGCCGAUUGGAUGAGGCCCUGAAGUUCAUCAGAAACAUGCCUUUCGAACCAGAUGCAGCAACAUGGGGUGCUUUACUUGGUGCAAGCAGAAUUCAUGGCAAUACCAAACUAGCUGAAAUGGCUGCUCAGUUGAUUUUUGAAAUGGAACCUGAAAAUGCAGGAAUGUAUGUUCUUCUCUCAAAUUUAUAUGCAGCUUCUGGUAGAUGGGCCGAUGUUAGUAGGAUGAGAUUGCAAAUGAGGGAUACUGGUGUGAAGAAAGUACCUGGGUGUAGUUGGCUUGAGGUACAGAGCAAGAUCCAUACGUUUUCAGUUGGAGACUCAUGCCACCCAGAUAGGGAUAAAAUCUAUGCCUACUUGGAAGAAUUGGAUUUAAAAAUGAAGCAGGAGGGCUAUGUUUCCUCAACAAAUUUGAUUUUGCAUGAUGUAGAUAACGAAGAGAAGGAGCACAUGCUCAAGUAUCACAGUGAAAAAUUAGCUGUGGCAUUUGGUAUUCUCUCUAUACCUGCUGGAAGACCAAUACGAGUGAUAAAAAACUUACGUGUUUGUGAAGACUGCCACAAUGCCAUCAAAUACAUAUCAAAGAUUGUGGGUAGGUUGAUUAUCUUAAGGGAUUCUAACCGCUUUCACCAUUUUAGGGAGGGUUCAUGUUCUUGCGGGGAUUAUUGGUGACUGGUGAGAGUUAAGAGACUGUUCUAAGCAGAAAAGCUAAGGAUUGAUGCUGCUAAUUUACAUGUCUUUAAUCAACAAAUUUUUUCAUAUAUACAUAUUUUUUGGAUUCUUGUUAGAUGCUUCCAAGUUUGGAAAGAAUAAGGUGGACAGUUCUGCUGCAUCUGGAAAGAGCCUAGUUCCUUGAAGGCUUCAUCAACAUAUAGAAGUUCAGUAACUUUAAGAUUAUCAUGAUAUUUUUUGAUGGAUUAUGGUUGAUUAUUUGGAGCUAAUAUUGGCCCAUGAUCAAUAAUGGGAAAUUAAAGAUACUAUAAAGAAGGUCAUUAAUUUGGGCAUCCAUCGCGGAAAUGUCUGUUUUGUGUACUUGGCAUGUGAGACAAGAUUGUGCCAUGUUCUAGCUUGCUUUGAAUCUGAGUAAGCUUGGGGAUCAAUUCAUGAUAGAAUGGAGAGAAAAGUGUUGGUUGAUUUUUAAGUUGAAUGUUUGAAUGGUUAUCCUUUACAAAGCCUUUUGCAUAAUGCUGAAUAAAGAAAACUUUUCACAGGUUGAGGUAGGAUAUAUGACUUCACAUAAAGAACAGGUUUUCAGUUUCACAUCCUUCAUGUAUAAACUGUCCGUUUGCCUUUCUCAGGCAUCUGUUUUGGAGUCGUGGGGCAAGAGCAAGUUCAGGAAAAUUCUAUGCAGAUCUUAGAAAGGAGUUUGAGCUGCCGCAUGACUAUGGGACAGAAAAGAUAAAAACAAUUGCAAACUGAUCAAAUCAGUUGACAAGCAUGGUUAGAGGAACAGAAGACCAAACACGUGGACAACUUGAGAUUUGCAACAACCCAAGUUUGGUGGUGUAAAGGUGUUCUUGUGAUAAAGAGAGGAAGCAUUGCAAACAAGUAAAAGAUGUAACGGAAGCAACAAAGAGGAAGAUCGAAGCAGUUCUUAAAGUAUUGAGUGUCGUAACAGGUGGAAGAGAAUAAGAAGAGAAUUGCUGAAGAUGUAUAAAACGGUUAGAAAGAAAAGUUUUGCGUGAGAAUGAGGUAGUUCUGGGAAAGUCCCUUAAAUGAAUUGUGAAAGAUCUAUAUAUAGUAUCAAAGAUCGCAGUUACUCAAGAAUGGGUUUU